GAUGAACGCUGGCGGCGUGCCUAACACAUGCAAGUCGAGCGAACAGACGAUGCGCUUGCUCCUCGCACGUUAGCGGCGGACGUGUGUGUCACACGUGUAUCCCCUCCCUAUCUGACUGGGAAAACUUCGGGACUCCGGCGCUUAUACCGGAUAAUCUCCUGAACCGCAUGGUUCAUUAGUGAAAGUCGGUUUUGCUGUCACGUCUAGAUGCAUCCCGGCCGCAUUAGCUAGUUGGUACGUUAACGGCUUACCAAGGCAACGAUGCGUAGCCGACCUGAGAGAGUGGUCGGCCGCACUGGAGCUGGGACACGGUCCAGACGCCUACGGGAGGGAGCAGUAGGGAAUCGGCCGCAAUGGGCGAAAGCCUGACGGAGCAACGCCGCGUGAGUGAUGAAGGUCUUCGGAUCGUAAAACUCUGUUAUUAGGGAAGAACAAAUGUGUAAGUAACUAUGCACGGCUUGACGGUACCGAAUCAGAAAGCCACGGCUAACUACGUG
rnacentral:rRNA from 1 species